GAACCACUUCCAUGGAGGCUCUGGCCGCGCGGGGAGGAACCGGCUCGUCCAGGCGGGGCCUGCGGGGGACGGAGGCACCAGAAACCGCCCGCACCUCCCCUUCUUGCUCCUCAAAACAAAGAAAAAUCUUGAAGCCCCUGCCUCAACCUUCCCUCCAUUUCUUGGUUCUCUCUGCCAGAAGCAUAAUGUAGCAGUGGACACAAUACAGCUUUAAUGCUGGACAGGCCUGCUUCAAACCCACUGCAGCCAUUCCUCUGCCUGUAUAUUCUGAGGCGAGCUAGUUAAAUUCUCAGAGAUGGUUUCCAGCGAGCCGUGGGGCUGUUCAGGACUCUCAGUGACGUCAUCCAUCCAACACUCGGUGCACUCUGCUUUCCUGCCUGCCGUCAGUGACACCCCGCUCAUCUUCUCUCUGUCCAUUAAACUCUAACGUUAAUUCUGUAACUCCAGUCUAUUAAAUUCCCUUCCUUUCUUUUC